UACGGGGGGGGCAAGCGUUGUUCGGAAUUACUGGGCGUAAAGGGCUCGUAGGCGGCCAACUAAGUCAGACGUGAAAUCCCUCGGCUUAACCGGGGAACUGCGUCUGAUACUGGAUGGCUUGAGAUUGGGAGAGGGAUGCGGAAUUCCAGGUGUAGCGGUGAAAUGCGUAGAUAUCAGGAGGAACACCAAUGGCGAAGGCAGCUCGCUGGAACGGUACUGACGCUGAGGCGCGAAAGCGUGGGGAGCGAACAGG
rnacentral:rRNA from 1 species